GGGAUUUGGAUCCUGCCAGCUCAUUCCUGCAACCCCCUACUCCCGUCCCCUGAAACCUGUCCAUGGCUUGCAGCCCUGUGAUACCUCGCCACAUUCUGCAACAGAAUCCGAGAUAGAGGUAGAAGUUGGGGAGUACAUUGUGGCUGUCGGGGCAGCUUUCUGUAAAAUGCUGCCUGGAGGAGCACGUGAUUCCAGACCCUCCUCUCUGCAAAGAAAGUGAGGUUGACACCUACAGGCCUGGGGCAUGGCUGGCUGUUGCCGUUCAUCUCGGCCUCCUGGCCCACUGAGCAGAACAACAGAAGCUGGGCCCACCCCUGCCCUCCCCACAAAGGGUCACGGGAGCCACCGCCUGACUUUGAAGCCCACUAACUUGCGGCUGACAAGAGAAAAGGGUGUGCCCCUGUGAUCAUGUGAAAGCAUCAGCCAGGGGUCCAAGAACUUCCCUCUGGAGCCUCACACUCCCAGCGUGGCACCUGGCAGGGAACAGAUUCUCUCCAAACCUUUGUGAAUGAAUGAAGGAUAACGUCACUAGAAUCCAUCCCUGUUUUAUUUUUUAUUUUUAUUUUUUGAGACAGAGUCUCACUCUGUCGCCCAGGCUGGAGUGCAG
rnacentral:lncRNA from 1 species